rnacentral:rRNA from 2 species
GUGGGUAGUUUGACUGGGGCGGUCUCCUCCUAAAGAGUAACGGAGGAGCACGAAGGUUGGCUAAUCCUGGUCGGACAUCAGGAGGUUAGUGCAAUGGCAUAAGCCAGCUUGACUGCGAGCGUGACGGCGCGAGCAGGUGCGAAAGCAGGUCAUAGUGAUCCGGUGGUUCUGAAUGGAAGGGCCAUCGCUCAACGGAUAAAAGGUACUCCGGGGAUAACAGGCUGAUACCGCCCAAGAGUUCAUAUCGACGGCGGUGUUUGGCACCUCGAUGUCGGCUCAUCACAUCCUGGGGCUGAAGUAGGUCCCAAGGGUAUGGCUGUUCGCCAUUUAAAGUGGUACGCGAGCUGGGUUUAGAACGUCGUGAGACAGUUCGGUCCCUAUCUGCCGUGGGCGCUGGAGAACUGAGGGGGGCUGCUCCUAGUACGAGAGGACCGGAGUGGACGCAUCACUGGUGUUCGGGUUGUCAUGCCAAUGGCACUGCCCGGUAGCUAAAUGCGGAAGAGAUAAGUGCUGAAAGCAUCUAAGCACGAAACUUGCCCCGAGAUGAGUUCUCCCUGAGACUUAGAGUCUCCUGAAGGAACGUUGAAGACGACGACGUUGAUAGGCCGAGUGUGUAAGCGCAGCGAUGCGUUGAGCUAACCGGUACUAAUGAACCGUGAGGCUUAACCUU